AAAAUGGCGAAUCUGAGUAUGAGCGAUUGUGUAUUUUGACAGUCCGUCACUUUCUGCUACAACACCGAAGUGAAAAGACGCGUUUGUUGAUGUUUUACGAAAAUCGGAAAAAAAAUUGGCUAAAAAUUUACUUUGAGAAGAUUUCAGAUUUUUUUUGAAGUGUUAUAAAGUGAAGUGAAAAACAUCAAAAAGCCAUGUCAACUGCGAAAAAGUCAACUGAACCGAAAGCAAUUGAUGUAAAUGCCCUGGUAAAGGCCAUUAAGGAUUGCUUGAUCGACAAGAAGCAAAUCAAAACGACUGCACGGUCCCAUGAUCUUCCUCGUAGCAGUUUGCAACGCUAUCUGAAGAAAGUUGAAGAAAAUUAUGAAGACCUCUCAGCCGUAGCAGAUGAUGAAUUGACGGAAUUUGUUCGUGAUUGCGGUCAACGUUUUCACCACUGCCCAAGAAAAGGAACUUGUCGACUACAUUUUGCGCUGGUAUGCGUGCCAGUUUUUUCACGUGCAAAAAUUGCGAAACUGAUUUGGACGACGAAGAAAGUGAUGAAUAAUUUGAAAAAAGUGCCAUUUUCUAUUGUCAUUUUUGCCCCUGAAGGCUUCAAUAAUUAAUAAAAUUUGAUAUUACUCAAUAUUUUUCAAUACUUUGGUGGUUUUUACUCAUUUUUAUCGAUUUUUUUGGGGGUGCCCACAACCGGGUACAAAUUUUUUUUUGGCCAAAAAUGAACACUUUGGAAAAUUGGUCACAAAUUUUUUUUUAGUGAUGGAAUCAAUGCAAAUUUUGCA